AGUGGCGAACGGGUGAGUAACAUAUCGGAACGUAUCCAAUAAUGGGGGAUAACUAAUCGAAAGGUUGGCUAAUACCGCAUACGCCCUACGGGGGAAAGCUAGGGACCUUCGGGCCUGGCGUUAAUGGAGCGGCCGAUAUCUGAUUAGCUAGUUGGUGGGGUAAAGGCCCACCAAGGCGACGAUCAGUAGCUGGUCUGAGAGGACGACCAGCCACACUGGAACUGAGACACGGUCCAGACUCCUACGGGAGGCAGCAGUGGGGAAUUUUGGACAAUGGGCGCAAGCCUGAUCCAGCCAUUCCGCGUGAGUGAAGAAGGCCUUCGGGUUGUAAAGCUCUUUCGCAAGGGAAGAAAACUUAGGCUCUAACAUAGCCUGAGGUUGACGGUACCUUGAUAAGAAGCACCGGCUAACUACGUGCCAGCAGCCGCGGUAAUACGUAGGGUGCGAGCGUUAAUCGGAAUUACUGGGCGUAAAGCGUGCGCAGGCGGUUUUGUAAGUCAGAUGUGAAAUCCCCGAGCUCAACUUGGGAACUGCGUUUGAAACUACAAGACUAGAAUAUGUCAGAGGGGGGUAGAAUUCCACGUGUAGCAGUGAAAUGCGUAGAGAUGUGGAGGAAUACCAAUGGCGAAGGCAGCCCCCUGGGAUAAUAUUGACGCUCAUGCACGAAAGCGUGGG
rnacentral:rRNA from 1 species